CUGACAACGAGCUACAGCUCGUAGUCGAAUUUCGGGAUUAUUCACAUGGUCUUGCUUUGCAAGUACUUUGUGGGUUUUCCUCUUUUCUUGGUAGAUUACACACUGUGUAAAAUGUCAAGACUUUUACUUUGAAUAAAUUAGGGUGUUUAAAGCAGGCUUUUGCUUGAAUACAUUAGCAUGGAAUAAUAAAAUAGGACUUUGGUUUUAUUUUGUUGGUUUUAAGAACCAAAGUAAUGAUUAAUAGGGACAGUUGGGGGCAUUAGUAUUUAGAAGUCAGAGGUGAAAUUCUUGGAUUUUCUAAAGACUAACUAGUGCGAAAGCAUUU
rnacentral:rRNA from 1 species